rnacentral:rRNA from 1 species
UACGUAGGUGGCAAGCGUUGUCCGGAAUUAUUGGGCGUAAAGCGCGCGCAGGCGGUCCUUUAAGUCUGAUGUGAAAGCCCACGACUCAACCGUGGAGGGUCAUUGGAAACUGGGGGACUUGAGUGCAGGAGAGAAGAGUGGAAUUCCACGUGUAGCGGUGAAAUGCGUAGAGAUGUGGAGGAACACCAGUGGCGAAGGCGACUCUUUGGCCUGUAACUGACGCUGAUGCGCGAAAGCGUGGGGAGCAAACAGG